UACAGAGGGUGCGAGCGUUAAUCGGAAUUACUGGGCGUAAAGCGUGCGUAGACGGCUAUCUAAGUCGGGUGUGAAAGCCCUGGGCUCAACCUAGGAAGUGCACUCGAAACUGCGAAGCUUGAGUCCUGGAGAGGAAGGCGGAAUUCUCGGUGUAGAGGUGAAAUUCGUAGAUAUCGAGAGGAACACCGGUGGCGAAGGCGGCCUUCUGGACAGUGACUGACGCUGAGACGCGAAAGCGUGGGGAGCAAACAGG
rnacentral:rRNA from 1 species